UCAGCCGAAAAAAUGAUGCACUAGAUGUCAGCCAACUUCAGAGUCUUAGUUGACUGAUUGUCUCUUGUCUCAGUGUAAGGAUUUUAUUUAUUUAAAAUAGUUCAGAUUAAUGAUUUUCUACUUGGAAAAAAAGAAUUACACCUGCUUGCAUUGAUUAUUGUUUUCUAAUUCUAUUAUUCUAUAUAACUUUGAUAAUCAUAAAAUAAAAAUUUAUAUAAAAGAUAAGCGGUAAAAAACAUAACCUAAAUCUACCUAUAAUUUGGUGUUGAAAUAAAUAAAAAGUGUGUAAAAAUAUUACUAAUGGAAGUGUCAAAUUCAAAAAUGCUAGUAAAAAACAUCGAAGUGACAAAUGUUUCUAAACAUACAUGUCAUUUUGAAUGGAGGAUCAACGGCAUAAGUUCAUAUUUAGAGAAUUUUCAUAAUGAAAUUGGUGCUGAUAGACAGAGGAUACUUUAUUCGCCUACAUUCACAACUGGUUCUGCAGUCGGCGAUAAAUGGUGUCUUAAAAUGACAGUAAACGACGAACGAUUCACUGAUAGAAUUGUAAUAAUUGAGCUAGAUCCCGUUGGUAUAUUUAAUCUUGGAGUGAAACUACAAUUUACAUCAUUUAUUUUAAAUAAUGAAUACCAGGAAGAGGAACGUAGUGAUUGCAAUCAAAUUUUUAACCAAAGCGAUUAUUUCGAUUUCGCAAUUUCCAUAUAUACUAACGAACUCGUGCAAAAUAAAAACAAACUUAUGUUCAACGACACGCUGACUAUUGCUGCUGAACUGACGUUGUUUGACAUUACUUCAUCAUUUCUUGAUAAUGCUCUGUCAUUUGGAUCAAAACGCCAACGAAUAACUGAUGACUACAAAGAUUUUUUUAAGAAAGAGCAAGAUACUGAUGUUGUUAUCAAAGUAGAUGGCAAAAUAUUCAAGGCUCACAGGGCAAUUUUGAUAGCACGCUGUCCUGAUUUAUUCAAGCUGUUCCCAACUCUGAAGGAUGUAAGCGAAAUAGAAAUUGGAAUUACCAUACUUUACAUGGACUCUGGUACUUUUGACAUCAUCCUUCAGUUCAUUUAUACUGAUGAAGUAAACGACUUGGAUGAUAAUGCUGAGAAUUUAUUGAAAGCUGCUAGCAAACUUGAAUUAAAAAAACUUAGACAAAUGUGUCUGCAAUCGCUUCUCAAAACUCUAACUUGCCAAUCCGCUCUAAGAUUACUUAAAUUUGCUCAUAAUUACAAUCUUUCGGAAAUAUUGGACUUCAUUUCUAAUUAUAUUGUAUCCAACGCUGAUAAAGUUACUGAUACUCCAGAGUAUCAGACUUUUAUAAAGUCAAACCCAUCAAUUGUUAAUAUUCUCUUACAGAAAUGUGUAAGUUUGAAAGUCGAUGGUACUUGGAUGUUCAGCGGUUAAAAAUGAUACAGUCAGUUAAACGAAUUCAUUGUAACAGAUCUCAAUUACAUUUCUCCUAGAGUAAUAUUAACUACAGUAAAAUAUUUCUUAUUCAUCCAACACUGAAAAAUAAGAAAGUUCAAAUUCCUCAUGUGGUUUCAACGCUGGAUUUUCUAUGAGAUGAAGCGAGAUAUUUUACAAUGAAUCAGUAUUUUUG
rnacentral:misc_RNA from 1 species